rnacentral:rRNA from 1 species
AGGAUGAAUGCUGGCGGCGCGCCUAACACAUGCAAGUCGAGCGGAAAGGCCCUUCGGGGUACUCGAGCGGCGGACGGCUGAGUAACGCGUAGGAACAUGCCCCAAAGUGAGGAAUAACUGCCCGAAAGGGUAGCUAAUGCCGCAUAUGAUCUUCGGAUUAAAGGAUUUAUCCGCUUUGGGAGUGGCCUGCGUACGAUUAGAUAGUUGGUGAGGUAAUGGCUUACCAAGUCUACGAUCGUUAACUGGUCUGAGAGGAUGAUCAGUCAGACUGGAACUGAGACACGGUCCAGACUCCUACGGGAGGCAGCAGUGAGGAAUCUUCCACAAUGGGCGAAA